AUGGAGGGGUGCCUGGUGAGGGGCGGGCUUUGCCCUGCAGGGCUGGAACUGAUCUAUUCCCAAGGGAGGGAGGGUGGAAGCCCGGGUCAGAGGACCCCUAUACUGCCUUCUUCCUUGUUCUCAGGGCUUGCGGGGUCAUGGAACCCUGCACAAUGCAGAGAGCAAGGUCACCAGAGGAACACUGGAGCCUCAGUUGUCUCAGCCGCGUGGAUGGGAGGGGGUGACACGUGGGGAGGCUUGUUCACCAGGAGCCCAAGCCCCCAGGAUGUCAUGGGACUGUGGUGGAGGGGCAGGGAGGCCCUGCUUAGGGCAGGGAAACUUUUCUACCACUCGUGCCCACUGAGUCUGGCAGCCCCAGCACAGGAAGGGAGGCCUGGCCAACUUGGGGUUGGGGUGGGAGUCCGCAAACCAAGGCACUUUCCAGUCAGCAGGGCCCCUGGAGGCCUGCGUGCACUUGGGAGGGCCCCCAGGAGAAGGAUACUGAGUGGGGCCUGGAAGGGCCUGGCUGGGAUGGCUGGCCCUGAGCCAUCUCUGCAUACCAGUGGGCUGAGCAGGGUGCCAAAGCUCAAGGGAGACGUCAAGCCCGGCCCUGCCCCUGGAGUGUGGGCGGCCUGACAAAGCUCUCCGUCUCCUCCCCCUUCCUUUCCUAAGGAAGGCCUGGCCAGACCACAGCCUUCUUGGGCCUCCGGCCAUAGGACCAGUGUCCGCCAUCGCGGCUUCGAGCAGAGUGGGCCCCACGUCCUCCAGGUAGACCUGAGGCCCAGUUGCCCCUCCCUUUCACGGCAGGCAGGCCUGGGCUGGCAGCUCUCGGGCUGCUCUUGAAGGCUCCCUCUGUCCGGCGGUGGAUUUGUCUGUCGGGCCUCCCCCCCGCCCGUCCUUGGGGUCUGGACUUAUUCACCGGCCUUCCGCCCAUGGGAGCCCCCUUCCCAGAAGCAGGUUCUGCUGGGCCCAGCAGAACCAGUCAGUGCCUUAGACUUCUCCCCGAGCCCCACGCCCCAGCAUAGGGGUCAGAGUGUGCUGCGGCGCUCAGGAAAUUCUCCGUGAAUGAGUGAUGUUUAAUGGAGGAAAGAAUGCCUUUUUUGAUAUAUUCUUCACAUUCAGAGUUAGUUUUUAACGAAACACGGGGUUUUAAGGAAAUGCAACCAUUAUUGUCCCUGGGGUUGUGCUGCUUGACAAGAGGAUUAGAAGGUGGGGUUUGGGGCUAGGACCCCAGGCCCUUCCUGAUCUGUACCAACACCAACCCUGAGGGUGUCCCCCCAUCGACCAGGGCUGGUGUCAGAGUCUGUAGCACCCACCGCCCUGUGCCAGGACCCACAGACAGGUGGGAGCACUCAGUCUGUCCUGCGGCUCAUGCACCCUCAUGAAAAGUCCGUCGGCUCCCCCCACCUGGGCCAGAGUGAGAAGAAACAGGUGGCUCUGGGGUCCCCCUCUCCCCGCCUUACCUUGCCCCGAGGGCGCUCUCCCCGAGGACCCCCAGCACAUGCCACCCCUCUUUCCUCUCACGGCCAGGCCUUCACACCCCCAUCCCUCAGGCACAGGUGGACGCCCCCACCCUGCCCUGGGGUGUGCACCUGUCUGACUGCAGGAGGGCCCCCGAAGGAAGCCACAGUGGUGGAUGAGGGGCCACCUCGGGCUCUUUCCCCUCCAUGUUCUCUCCUCUGGACUGGUCCCUCCCUGGCCCCCUCCCCUCCACCGCGCCCCCCGCCCCCCCACAUGUGACAUAGGAACAGAGGGUGUUGCUGGCAGGAGCCCGGUGCAGGGAGUGCUGGUCCUCCAGUGGGGGUCACAGGCAGAACCCACCACUCUGGGGAGGCUUCGUCCACUGUGAGCCUGGCCUCCUCGCAGGUGGCCGGCCCCUGGGACCGCCCCCCUCAGCAGAGAUGCGAGCCUCCGGAUACGGCUGCGCUGUGACCCACCAGCCAACCCAAGACCCGGUCAUCCAAUAAAAAGUCUGUGUUGGGGCUCA